UACGUUUAAUUAGCCACGAUAGAGUCACAUAAUGUUUAUAGUCAUGCUUGUUGUUGCCACUUUGUAAUAUUGGAGGGUUGCUAAAAGCAUCAGUGCCCCCAGGCUGUGAUGAUCUUUAAAGUUUUGAACCCUGUCUGAAUACACUGAUUGCAGCUAGGUCAUUUACUUGAAUUAAAAAUGAACUUGCGACAGUACAGGCAAAUUCCUUUCCUCCUGUCUGUUAUUUAUUGCUGUUAAAAUAGCCUGUUCCUCCAGUCUGAAAACAAAGCAAUAAAACACACUUCAUGAGGUGUUAUAGUCCAAAGGUAGUGAACAUCACUAACAUAUACAAAGAAUUGUUAUAUUUUACACAUUUUACAAUACCUUGCUGCAUUCUUUAAAUGGUAAUACUUGCAGUUUCCAUCCACUGAAACUGAAAGCACAUCUGGGGUACAAGCUUGACACUUGAAGGGAUCCUUCCUUAACAUUUUAUCCAACUCAUAUAUUAUGGCUUCCCGCUCAAAAAUCAUUUCAGGAAGCUGUCAGCCGAGAUCUUAACUGUGAUUUAAAAUGAGAGAUAAAAAAAGAAAACAUAAAAUAGGACAUAGGUGUCCAAAUACCAGGCAUCAAUAAAAGGUUAGGUGUCUUUCACGUUUUAGGUGUUUCUCUGCCACAAAACAUCUCACUCAAUUAAUUUUGAUGUUACCAGGACUUCAUAUGAUCUGAAUGCGGAAUGAAUGUGGUGGCACCUCAUUUGAUUCAAGUGUGUUUAACCAGUUACACCAAAAUGUUGAAGAACAUAACCACUCAAGGAUAGAGUCAGACAGCCCUUCUGGGAUAUGUACGUCAAAGUACUCACACAGCCAAUGUUGACAGUUAUUUAAAUUUUGAUAAUAUAGUUAUUUAUAUUAUGGGUUUGAGUGAUUCAAAGAAUUGUUAUUCAGGACCUUUUCAUUGCCAAGGAUGAAAACGUAGGAACAUUUGUGGACUGUAUACACUAAUCAACCAAAAAUGUAAGACUGCAGAUUGUAAAUGUAUAAUAACAGUAACCUUUUAGCCUGUAAUAACAGCUUGCCUGACUGAAUUGUAUGCAUUCUAGAUUUUGUGGUGGGCAAUGGUCAGCAGCCAGGGAGAUCUCUCACAGGUCCAGCAGCAAACUGGGUGAGGAGGCUUGUAGCUAGCGGCUGGCCAACAGACAAUCACUUUUUUCAAUGGAUGUAACAUGCAAGUACUGGCCAUAUCUUGAAAAUAAUAUGACUAGAUACUCCAGGUGUUGAGCUAAACUUACAAAUUUAAACUUUUACUGAGUUGAUUUGUCCUUUUCAUAAAUGCAUUUCAGACUCUGUCAGUCUUCAGACAAAAACAAGGGCAAUCGAUGACAUCAUGAUGGUAAAGAGACUGUAAGAGGAAAAGAGGAUCCUUGUUGAUGGACCAUCAUUGGAAAUCUGUCAUCCUAUGAAGACACUCUAAAGGAGUUUCCCACCUGUUAUUGGGAGGUAAAUUUAAAAGUUUGUCCUGUGACCUAACUGACGAAGGCACAAGAGGACUCCAGAGCAUCAUC